UCUGAAUCUGCGUACGGCUCCGCAAACCAGUUGUAAACUAUAGCAAGCAAGCCCGGGGCUGGCCUUCACGGGCCGGCUCCGGGUUAUAUGGAUAACCCUGGUAAUUUUGAGGCUAAUACAUGACAGUACAACCUGGCUGACUGGGCUUCGGCCUGGGAUGCCGGGGGACGUGUGAUUGAGGGCUUGGUAACACCGGGAAGGGGCGCACGUUUAGACCACGCUAUAAAGGUCGGUUUCCCCCUUCGGGGGGGGGUCGUCCCAGUGGCUCUUGCUGUGUGCUUCUGACCUAUCAACUAGACGGCAGCAUAAGGGACAUGCUAUGGU
rnacentral:rRNA from 1 species